AAGGGAGACCUAAUUCAGGUAUGGGACGAAAAAAAAGUAGUCGCUAUCAAGAAUCAAUCCCAAAAGGUCGGAGCGAGGUAUGAGGCUUUCAAACUAGGUUCUGGGUUCAAACAAGACCUGAAUCAGGAACAAGGGCUAUUAGCUCAGGUGGUUAGAGCGCACCCCUGAUAAGGGUGAGGUCCCUGGUUCGAGUCCAGGAUGGCCCACCUGCACAGGUGGCAAAAACAAGAGAAGCGAGGAAUCAGCACCUUAUCUUAUCUAUAUAUAAGAGAGAAUGCUGGCUCUGAGUAAAGAGUCCAGAGGAACCUUGAAAACUGCAUAGAGCUAGGUGAAAAAGCCAAAAAAGAAGACCGCAA
rnacentral:tRNA from 1 species